CGCGAAGAACCUUACCUGGGCUUGAAUUGCAGAGGAAGGAUUUAGAGAUAAUGACGCCCUUCGGGGCCUCUGUGAAGGUGCUGCAUGGUUGUCGUCAGCUCGUGCCGUGAGGUGUCGGCUUAAGUGCCAUAACGAGCGCAACCCCUCUCUUCAGUUGCCAUCAGGUUAAGCUGGGCACUCUGGAGACACUGCCACCGUAAGGUGUGAGGAAGGUGGGGAUGACGUCAAAUCAGCACGGCCCUUACGUCCGGGGCUACACACGUGUUACAAUGGCCGGUACAGAGGGACGGUGUAAUGCAAAUUGCAUCAAAUCUUGAAAGCCGGUCCCAGUUCGGACUGGGGUCUGCAACCCGACCCCACGAAGCUGGAUUCGCUAGUAAUCGCGCAUCAGCCAUGGCGCGGUGAAUACGUUCCCGGGCCUUGUACACACCGCCCGUC
rnacentral:rRNA from 1 species